GCCUGCAUGGCGGAGUGGUUUGAGUGUUGGACUGCAACUCUGGAGAGCAGGGUUCGAAUUCCAGUUCAGCCA